rnacentral:tRNA from 1 species
GGUUUGGUGGCUGACCGGUAAAGCGCUUGACUUCCAAACCGGAGGACCUGGGUUCAAAUCCUGGUGAAGACU